rnacentral:lncRNA from 1 species
AAGGAGAAGGAAAAGAAAAACAAAACAAAACAAAACAAAAUUUAAAACCCAUGGGCUCGCGCUUCAACGGCCUGCGUGCGCACACGCCGCGCAUAGCACACGACAUGGCCGGCUGUGCGGGUGGCUGGGCAACUUGCUUGCUGCCAGUCGCAGGCCACCAUGGUGAUGUGACCGACUGUCACGUCAGGUGACUCCCCUUGUCGUGUGAGUCCCAAACCGCCCACUUUGCUCCACUUAGCCUCUCUGAUCUCCACCAAGUGGCAUGAAUUUGGCCGCCUUCUCCUUUUUAUUUCUUCACCAUUUUCUUCUUUUAAGUUUAACAAAUUAGAGAGAGAAAGAGAAGAAUUUUAGAGAGAGAAAGAAGUGGAAGGAAGUAGGAAGCUCAUAAGACCCUUUACUUCUUCACCCGAGAAAUGGAUCUAGAUAUGUUACAGUUAAAGUAAGGGAUCCUUAGUAUUUUCAUUUACAUUUGUAAGUGCUCUUUUUAGUUCAUUAAUUUAGUAAAAUUAGAGAUUUAUUUAAAUUAAUUGCUAUGCUUAUUUUGGUUGUUAAAUUUAUGAUAUUUAAUCUUGAUGAAUGUGUUAUAAUGAUGAUUUGGGAUACAUAUGGGAUUGACCCUUUGUCUUACCUUUGGUAAUGGAAAAAAGGGUUGCUCUAAGGAGCUUCAGCUUCAAAGAAUAUCCUGAUGGUCAAAUCCGGGUAUAAUGGGUCUUUGGCCAAAUAUUUUGUUGAGCCCUACCGGGUUUUGGAUGUGAAAUAAUUAUGGGUAUAUGAUGGAUAUAACAACAUGAUAGUCAUAAGUGGAUACUGAAUAUGAAAGAAGAAUGAAAAUCCAUUUAACUAUUAUCUAUAAGGAUUUUCUACUUUCCCCUACUUUGAACAAAUAUUGGUGAACCACUCCCUGUGAAUGAUUGGUGUCUCCAUCAGACGAGAGUGGAUUCAUAGAAUGAUAUGUAGGGCCACAAUGGCAAAGUACGACCAUAGUUGUAGAUUAUACCUAACAUCGUUAUGGAACUAACCCAAUAUCGUUAUGAAACUAUCCAAAAAUGGAAAAUGAACUAGUCCUAAUGGGGAAAUUUAAAUGAUUUGGUUAUUCACAAUGGUAGUUAGGGACCCCCUGUAUCCUCAGCGGAUAUAUAUUAAAAUGGCUUCGCGUAAAGGUCAGUAAAAGAUUUAAUAAAAUACGAAUAUAGUUGAGGUUAAUUAUGAAUUGUACUUUUAUUAAAAUCUUAGUGUUCAAAUAGUUUUUGUUGAAUUACUUGUUCAUGAAUUGUUUUAUGCUUUCUCUAUCUUUACUAAAUUGAUAUGGUUAUUUGUUUUCAUAAGUCAAAUAACAAUCUUUUAUAAGUAUUUAAAAUGUGCUCGUGGGAGCUUAUGAGGUAAACCUUGUAUUUAUGAAUUUUAACAUUUCUUCUUCAAGGUUACUCACUCUUUAAACCUUAGGAGUGUAAUCUAAAUAUUGGUUCCCUUAGUGAGUUUAUAUAAAACUCAUCCCUAAUUUGUGCCCCACCAGAUGAUGAAAGCAAUGACGCGUUCACUCUGUUGCCUCUUGAAGCCGUCUGGAUCCCUUCUCGGAUCCUUAGGAUGGUUACGAGUGUUUUAUAUUGUCUGCACUCUUUUAUAAACCUUUAAAUGACUCUUAUUUGUACAUUCAUAUUUUGGUAGCCAACCAUUAGCCUUGGGUGUAAAAUGAACCUUAAUUUUUGCGUAAUGG